rnacentral:lncRNA from 1 species
ACUAUUAAAGAUAUAAUAUAUUUGUUAUGAUACACGUGAAAAACUAUUUCAACUUAACUUCUAAAGUACAACAGCUAGUGUUUAUCAAAUACUUUAAUACUGUAACUUAAAAGUUACAACUGUCCGACCUCAAUUCCGAACACACUCUAAAAAGAGAUAAGAAGAAUGAAGGUAUUAAUGUGUCGCAUAUGGGGAUGACUUUUAAUUCGUCUUAUAAAGCAAAAGAAUGUUACACAGAUUAUGGUCGAAUAAAACUCGUUCUCAUGUCAUGUUGAUGAGGUUACCAGAAAGCAAUCUGUACGCUCUACGUGAGGGCAAGAAAAGAAAGAAAAUAUAGAGUAGAUGGAGUAGACGAACUUAAACAUCUUCAAUGGAUUUGGCUUUGUUAUUUUCGUGUCAAGGAAUUAAUUAAAAAACUUUGAGAAAAAGUAAUCAAAAUUAUUAUUAUUAUUUUUUGUCAACAAGAUAAUUUUACUUUUGUCCAUAGCAUAUAUUUUCAUGUUAAAAGAAUUCACCUCAUUGUUGAAAUUAAAGUCAACAAGUAUAAUCAAUUAAACCCACAGGUUUUGGGAUCAGACUCUUGGAUUGUUUGUCGAUCAGAUAAGCCAAAACUGAGUGAGAGGGCAAAGUAGUGGAGGAACAGAAGAGAUUUGAUGACAAGGUUGAACCAAAAUGAAGACGAACGGUACGCAUGAUUCAAUUUUUGAAUUUUUUUUUCAAUUUCGGUUAGAAACAUUUGAAAAGAAUGCGUUUGAAGAAGAAGAGUCAGGAUUUUUUUUCUCUCUCUCUCUCUCUUAUAUUUUGAGUCAUAAAUCUAAUCGAGUUUUAAUACCAUAUAAACAAUUAUCUUAGCCCUUAAAUUGAGCCAAAUCAAUGACUAGAUUUUAAUGUCUAAGUUUAAAUUAAAAUAUGGGAAAAGGACAAACACACUCCCGACGUUUAGGUAAAG